GCGUCGAUGGUGAAAGGGCUAUCAUCUGCGCUUCCCAUUCCAACGUGAACCCUGCGCAGGGUCCGAGUUCGAGUCUCGGUCGACGCA